GACGAACGCUGGCGGCGUGCUUAACACAUGCAAGUCGAACGGAAAGGCCCUGCUUUUGUGGGGUGCUCGAGUGGCGAACGGGUGAGUAACACGUGAGUAACCUGCCCUUGACUUUGGGAUAACUUCAGGAAACUGGGGCUAAUACCGGAUAGGAGCUCCUGCUGCAUGGUGGGGGUUGGAAAGUUUCGGCGGUUGGGGAUGGACACGCGGCUUAUCAGCUUGUUGGUGGGGUAGUGGCUUACCAAGGCUUUGACGGGUAGCCGGCCUGAGAGGGUGACCGGCCACAUUGGGACUGAGAUACGGCCCAGACUCCUACGGGAGGCAGCAGUGGGGAAUAUUGCACAAUGGGCGGAAGCCUGAUGCAGCAACGCCGCGUGCGGGAUGACGGCCUUCGGGUUGUAAACCGCUUUCGCCUGUGACGAAGCGUGAGUGGCGGUAAUGGGUAAAGAAGCACCGGCUAACUACGUG
rnacentral:rRNA from 1 species